AUUUUAUAUGCUUGCAAAUCACUUGGCCCGAAAGUUAUUAUUAAAAUAAUAUACAAUUCGUUAUGUUACGGCUAUUUAUUUAUAUAUAAGUAAUGGUUAUUCAUCGUAACGUAGGUAUUUUAUUUUCUGUCCGCAAUAUGAAGUGUUUAAUUAUAUAUGUGUCACUGACUUUAGUUGCUACGGCGAGAAGUUAUUGGCCCGUGGAAGAGUGUAAUUUAAACGGGGGCCAUUGUAUGAGUACUAGAUAUUCAUACAUGUGUGAAAUCAAAAGCCAAUUGCCUUGUAGUGAUUAUGGUGAUUUUUGCUGUCUAAGAGAGGCACCAACAGAAUGCACAAGAAACGGUGGCGGUUGUUUCAUUCCAUCCCCAGUGAAUUUGGACAACUGUCAAAUUAAAAGACCAUAUUCCUGUAGUAACAUACAAGGAGAGCCAAGAACAUUUUGCUGUUUGCAAAUGGGGGUAAUACCUCUAGGUGGCAUGAAAACUUUUGUGUAAUGGAAUAAUGACUUCGAAUUGCUUCUAAACAUGCGACAAGAUAGCUAAGGUGAAUUUCAAAAUGGACGCGCUUUGUGAAAUACCCAUGGAUUUAGUAAGUACUUCGUACAACAUCAUCUACUAAUUCCAUGAAAAUACCCCCGAAAUUAAAACCACUUGUUGUACCAAUAGCUGUUAAUUUGGCUUUUGCAAAUUGUUUUUUUGUUUUUUUUUUUUCCUUUAAACACUUUUAUAAGUUGUGAUUUUGCCCAUAAAUAUGUUGAUUCUGUAUACAUAUGUGACUGGAAUACAAUCUAGUACCUAAUUUCUCUUUAUGCCUAUACAUAAGACCUGUUUUGAUUGUAAUCUGUUUGUGUAACAAACGUGUGUGUAAUGUAUAAACUCGUUCAAUCGUUUCGUUACUACAAAAGUGUGAUUAUAUAGUUUUAAUGUAGUUUUAUAUACUGAAUACAUAACUUCUUUAAGCAACUUUGAUUCUAUGCAAAAUGAUUUUAGCUGCAAUAAUUUGUACUUUAAAUUCUAUCAUUCUGUGGUGAUAACUUUGUAUGGAUUAUAAACAAAAUAGAAUGUUCUUUUAUUUCUAUAGUUUAUUUAUAUUUAACUACAUCUCGUGUUUGUUAGCAGUUUGUACAGACGAUAAUGACUCAUUUAAAAUUGGCCAUUAUUACCAUAGCAUUAAGGUUUACGUAGUGUUACUUGAUAUGUAAUUAGUCGUGUAUACCACACAGUUCCACUAGUCAACUUUGACGUUAACUUUAAUCUGUGCACAACAACGCACAAAUCACCAUUUUAUCUAAAGCCCAAUGUUAAAUUAACGUCAAAGACGACUGGUGCAACUGAGGCUAAGAGUGGGUUUCAUUAGUCAAUUUUAACGUUAACUUUAACCCCAUUGGCCCCAUUUUCAUUUCUACGCAGAUUAAAGUUAUCGUCAAAGUUAACUGGUGCAACUGAAGCUUAAACUGUAUUCGAGUGGGUCAUUAGUGCUAGAUUUUCCCUUAAAUAGAACUUGAUUGGACACUACACUAAAUUGCAGUAAUUACAUUCGUUAAAUCUUAACCAUUGCUUUAUUUUAUGCUGUUUUGUUCCUGUUUAAGAAUAGAUUCUAAAACAGGAUAAACACGGACAGGAUAAACUAGAGUUUAUUUUAUAUAAUCCUACCAAUAUUAUAAAUGCGAAAGUUUGUGAGGAUGUGUCAAUGUAUGGAUGUUUGUUACUCUUUCACGUAAAAUCUACUCAACCGAUUAUUAUGAAAUUUGGUACACGGUUAAAAUAUAACCUGGAAUAACACAUAGGCUACUUGUAAUCCCGAAACUCCCACGGGAGCGAAGCCCCGGGGCGCAGCUAGUUACUAAUAUAUUUGGCAGCUCCAACCACGGCUAAAGUAGCGUGUGACUUUCUAGAUCUCCAACUGUCAUGACAUGAAAGAAGGUCCAUUCUGACAUGAAAGAAGACCUUUUUAAUCAAAAACAUCUUUUCAUUUCCCGUGAACUUUAUCCAAGCUUGCUAUCUUGUAUUUUGGUGUCUAUUUAUUUAUUUAUUUUUAUUUUUUUUAUUCAUAAGGCACACAAACAGACAAAAAAAGAACAUAAUUAAAAUUCUAAGUAUAAGAACUAACCUGUAAUCCACUAGAGCAUGCACAGUUGUACAGAGUAUGAAGUGCUCUAUCAAAAUUUUAUUAAUCUAGAAAUUAUACAUACAUAGGUAUAUAAAAAUAACAUACGUAUUUAAAUAUAUAUAUAUUUACCUAUUAAGUUCAUCAAGUAUGGAUAUAACAAUACAAGUUGGAAUUAAAAAUGUCCAAGAUCUCUCAAUGUGUCUCAGUUCGUCGUAAUCUCGACACAUUCUAACGAUCGGAUUGAAGAAGGAAGUGUUGUUUUUAUAAACAUUUAAACGGAAAAGGCGCGGACGUAGACGAGUUCAAUCAUUAAAAUUGAUUAAAUUCAACAGCCCAGGACAAACGAUGGACGAGUGAAUUAAUUUGUGAAGGUAAACUAAUUCUGACAAUUGCCUUUGUAACACCGAAGUAACUCACUCUAUCAUCAUACGGUGUAUUCGGUAGUGUUCGGAUUGAACCAUAUUUAAAACACAAGCGUUGGAAGAAACGUCUUUAGAUCAUAAUUCUACAUCAUUUUAUAAUUUUUAACAUUCCAAAGUAGAAAAUUAUGGCAUUUUAUAAUAAAAUGAAACAGAAUUUUGGCAGAGUAUUGUAUUAUUUGCGUAAAAAAUAAUUGUUACAAUAUUAUGGAUA